rnacentral:rRNA from 1 species
UACGUAGGGGGCAAGCUUUGUCCGAAUUUAUUGGGCGUAAAGGGCGUGUAGGCGGCUGGGUAGGUCCUUUGUGAAAACUCGAGGCUCAACCUCGAGACGCCGAUGGAAACCAUCUGGCUAGAGUCCGGAAGAGGAGAGUGGAAUUCCUGGUGUAGCGGUGAAAUGCGCAGAUAUCAGGAAGAACACCCGUGGCUAAGGCGGCUCUCUAGUACGGUACUGACGCUGAGACGCGAAAGCGUGGGGAGCGAACAGG